ACACUUACUUGGCGGGGGAGUGCCACGAUCAGAAAGGUGCUUUUCCCAGGGUAAGGCCCUUCCAUUGCUGUUCGGUUGAUCUCUGUGAUUUCCCCCAAUGUGGGAAACUGAACUGCAUAAUUUAUGGUAGCGGGGGAUUAUGUUUGCACUGUCUCAGG